rnacentral:rRNA from 1 species
AGUGAACGCUGGCGGUAGGCCUAACACAUGCAAGUCGAACGGCAGCACAGUAAGAGCUUGCUCUUACGGGUGGCGAGUGGCGGACGGGUGAGGAAUACAUCGGAAUCUACUUUUUCGUGGGGGAUAACGUAGGGAAACUUACGCUAAUACCGCAUACGCCCUACGGGUGAAAGCAGGGGAUCUUCGGACCUUGCGCGAUUGAAUGAGCCGAUGUCGGAUUAGCUAGUUGGCGGGGUAAAGGCCCACCAAGGCGACGAUCCGUAGCUGGUCUGAGAGGAUGAUCAGCCACACUGGAACGGAGACACGGUCCAGACUCCUACGGGAGGCAGCAGUGGGGAAUAUUGGACAAUGGGCGCAAGCCUGAUCCAGCCAUACCGCGUGGGUGAAGAAGGCCUUCGGGUUGUAAAGCCCUUUUGUUGGGAAAGAAAAGCAGCAGGUUAAUACCCCGCUGUUCUGACGGUACCCAAAGAAUAAGCACCGGCUAACUUCGUG